AAUAAAACAAUUUUUUUUUAAUUUAAAAACAUUUUCUAGAAUCACCAGUUAAUAUUAGUUAAUCCAGAAAAAGCCAUGAUAACUAAAAUAUUCAGUGACUGAGAUAGUCUAUUUCAUUAUUAUGUCUUCUAGAUAAACUUCUAAGUAUUGUAGCUCUCUGAGCUUAAGCCCGCUUUAUUGAAAUCUUGGUAAAAUAAACAUUUGCCCUUUCCUAUGGUGCGUGGGUAGUUCAGAGCUGACACAGCGGACUUAAUUUCGUGGCCGAACUCCUGAAAUCAGUCCUGCCUAACAGACACUUCUGACCCAGGCUGUAUGGUGGUGAGCAUGUGUGUGAUGCAGGCCUCGGGUGACACAUCCUCAGGCUGCGCUCUCUGGUAGCUCAGGCUGACGUUAGAACUCCAGGUGCGCUAACCCACACUUGCGGAAAGGAGAAACCAUGGUGCCGCUUGUUUUUUGUUUUGUUUUUGUUUUUGUUUUUUCACAUUUCCCAGGGACGAUUUUGGCAACAUCUCCUCCAGUGGGGAAAGCGCUGCUCGCAAGGUUGGCCCUUGCCACAAAUCUUCUUUCCUUCUUUCCUUCUGGGGCGCUUAUGCCAAAAAGGCUCAGGAUAAAAGACACUUUCAGUACUUAGUGUGUUUUUGUCGCUUUGGUCAAGGAAUGGAAACGUAGACGAGAGAAACCGCUAAGUGAGACGGUACUGGAACAGCGAUCUGCAGAUAGUGCUUCAAGAAGACGGGGGAAGACUGAUUAAAGCCUCUUAAAAUGCUCCAGAGGGGCAAAAUCUCUCUUGGGACGUUCUGAAUGUGGAGUGGGACUGGCAUGGUGAAAAUGAGAGAUGUACUGGAGCUCUCCCAGAAGUCAGUAUGAGUGCACACAGAACAAGACGUCACGAUUCAGGAUCAACAAAAGGGGUGUUCAAUAACGGAUAAAAUGAACAGCGACGCUUAAGAAUGGCCGAUUAAGAUGAGGCAACUGAGGCAAAGAUUAAAAACUUGCAAAGCUCACACGAUGGGAGAACCGGGUUUUGAACCCAGCGAGUAGUGUGGUUUCCAGCUAUACUGAACUCCCGAGAAAAGGGACCAAGGUGUAUAUAUGUUAUUAUCCCGCACAGAAUCUAACAUCCGUACCCAGGAAAAGCUGCAAAAAGGUUGCCAAAAUACCUUUCCAGAGAAUAGGGCAGUGUGGAGAAAACGGACAUCUUCACUCUCUCAGUAACUCAAAGCCCCGAUUCUUUCCGAAAGAGGAAGACUCCUCGUGGUAUUGCAAGAGCGGCAGCGUACAUAACCUGUGCCUGGCCUUUUUCGCUGCCCCCAACGCGGAGCUGAUUCUGGACACACGGGCUCGCCCCCGGUCCCUCCAUCUACUUGCAGGUAAACUGUGCUGCGAAGGAGAAGCGCGCCCCAGCCUGCGGUGCCACGGCACGAAGUGGUUUCUCCCUCCUCUUAACAGCACUCAGGCACCGGCUCCCUCACGCGUGCCCUGGGAGCUCCCCCGCACCCUCCGCCUUCCCGGAGCCCAGAACGCGGGUUUGCGAGUCCGGACGAGCCAGACAGUUCUUUCCUCCCCCCCCCGCCCCCCCCGCCCGGCGACUCACGUCCCUCAGCCCGGUUGGCAAUGCGCGGGGGCCCCAUACUUAGAAUCUGCAGAAAACACCGCUCUCCUGAAGUUCAACUCGCUGCCGCCACAACGAACCACGCGGACACUCUCCUCCUCCACCAUCUUUGCGCAGAUGCCGGAACUCACGCCCGGGAGCCCGCCCAGAAUUUCCUUUAGGGAGGCCGGGCCGUAGAACACGAGUCGCAGCCCACACAGCCCGUGCCUGGGCCCCUCUAGGCUUCAGUCUCGAUGGUAGGACCCAGCCUAGGUGCCGCCAUCUUUUGUGUGGGAAACGUUAAAUUAGGACACAUGUAAAAAAGGUGGAAGCGAAACAGGGACAUAGAGACGAUGAACUUAUAUUAGACACCCCUGAACUUUUAUUUAGUACUAAUUUUCUUUUUUCUGGCCCUGUCAGUUUGAUUAUAUAUCUUCUUCCGCCAGAAGAGAAGGGUGUCCUAUCACGUGACCUCCAGUCCCCUCCCUUCCCCACCCACCAGGCCGCUUCUUUCUCCGCUUUGAUUCGGGCUCUGCGGGAUGACGCCAGCGUUUUGUACCGCUUGGUUUCUCGGCCGCGCAGUUGAGUUCUUGGGUGGAAAGGCAGCUGUCUGCUUCUUGCAUAGCUGUCUCCCCACCCAUUAGCCGUCAUUUUCUCCUGUUCCGCUGAGCGUACCAUAGGUUCCUGUAGAAUCUCCACAACUCCGAGGGCCUUGCUUUUUCCUUUGGACGCCUGGCUCCUGCUCCGGGAUUCUGGUGCAUCUUUCUUUCACCGAUUCGAUGGAGCCGCUCGGACUGAUCUGACAUUCCCUCCCACCCCCGCCCAAGUUCCGUGUCUUGCUACGGGUUCUUCUGUGCCUGUUGCUUUGGUUUUAGCUUCCCCCCCAUUAGUCGACCGUGCCUGUGGGGAUUGGUACACUCAAUUAUGGAGGCUGAAAAGUCCCACAAUCUGCAUUCUGCAAGUUGGACACCCUGGAGAGCUGGUGGUGUAAUUCAGUUUGAGUCUGAAGGCCUGAGAACCUGGGGAGCUGAUGGUGUAAAUCCAGUCUAAGUGCAGGAGGAGACCAAUGGCCCAGUCCAACAGUCAGAUAGAUGUGGCAUCUCCUUGAUUAAUUACCCUUGCCUGGUGAUGACAGUACUCUCAGAGUAGCUGCUUAAGCUGCCCAGGUGACUGGAUCAUUCAUCACUAAACUAAAUCCAAAGAGAAGAUGCUGAACAAGGCUUCCAAGCAGGAUUAGUAAAUAGGUGGUCCUUCAAAUGAUUCCUUGUACCGUGGGCCAUGUGGGAGAAACACAGCGAGAGAGGGAACACAAGCCGGGGGAGUGGGAGAGAGAGAAGCAGGCCUCCCGCUGAACAGGGAGCCCGACGUGGGGCUCGAUCCCAGGACCCUGGGACCAUGACCCGAGCCGAAGGCAGACGCCCAACGACUGAGCCACCCAGGUGACUCUUGAGUCAUACCACAUGGAUGUGUUCUAGUGUGACCGUGAAUGUCUUGGUUUGAAGGUCCGAACCAUCUGGGUGUAUGCUGUUGUGGUUUGUGCUGGUGAGCUCCUGGGCCUGGUGUUGCUAAGAUGACCUCUCAGCCAAGUUGCCUAAGAACAACAGUUGACAAGAACUGCACGUCUUCAAACACUGUCUACGGCAGAAUGGAAACAGGAACCUCUGGGAAUAUCUGUGAGUCAUAAAAUGUUGUAAGGAACUUUCCAAAGACAUUUUCUUACUAGGAUAGAGAGUUCUAAUCUCAUAUUGGCAGACUCUGUUGGCGACGAAGUACAUUGUUUACUUUGAUUCCUUUUCAACUGUCCUUCAUGACCUUGGUUUAUCAAGUUUUUGAUAUAUCGGAACAGAAGAGUUGCAUAAAAUGACAAGAUUGUAACCCCUUCUGUUCUUCUAGUCUCUUAAAAGAUAAAAAUCAUGAUCCUAAUCUAUGCUUCCUUUGUGAGUAUGUUUAAGUCAGUUGUCUUUGAAGGAAGUAGUUUGGAUUACUCCCACAAUUUUGAAAGCUUAUAGUACUAGUAAUUGAAGACAUAUGUUUUCUUUUAAUUAAGAAAGGAUGUCAAAAAACACUUCAUAAUGCUGCCGAAAGGGGUAUUUCUAAGUGUGGUGUGCAUGCAUGCAUGAGGUCAUUUAAUCUAGUUUAAAUAUGAGUGUUUGAAUUUGGGGAAAUAUAGACACAAAUGCAUAUCCAACAAACAUAGUUAUCAAUGUUAAGACCAAAAAGUAGGCCAGAAAAAAAGAAUACCCAAUCCUUUGCUCAUAAAUUUAAUCUAAAUCUAAAUUUUUGGAUAUUUGAUGGAGUCUGAGUAACUUCUAAAUUGAUUUAUUAUUUACAGAUCUUUUCUAUUUUUAUUUCAUUUUUAAAGCAGAGGUUCAAAAGGUUUUGACUAUUGUACAAAACUGUGCAAUCACCACCCAAAUCAAUAUGUAGAACAUUUCUAUCACCUAGAAAGUUCCCAUGUGACCCUUCUAGUCAUUCUUCUACCACCACUCUCCUCCAAACACCAGAAACAGCAGAGAUUAGUUUUGCAUGCUCUUGGACUCCAUAUAAAUUGAAUCAUACAGUAUGUACUUUUUUGGGUUUUGCUUCUUUGACACAGCAUGUUUUUAAGAUUCAUCCAAAUUAUUGUGUGUUUGAGUCAUUCAGUCCUUUUAAUUGCUCAGUAGUAUUCCAUUGUAUGAAUAUAUAUACCACUGUCUGUUCUUUUGAUGAUGAACAUUUGCAUUGUUCCCAAUUUUUGUCUAUUACAAAAAGGAGUGCUAAGACAUUCUUGUAAAAGUCAUUUUGUAGUGUAUGUUUUUAUAUCUCUUGGAUAAAUACCUAAGAAUGGGAUCCCUCCAUCAUAGGAUUUUAUAAGAAAUUGCCAAACCAUUUUCUAAAGUGAUUGUAUGAUUUUACAGUCUUACCAGCAAUGAAUGGAGUUCCAUAUCCUUGUCAUUUUUUAGUAUUAGUCUUUUUGAUUUUAACGUCUCAAGUGAGAUUGAAAUAUUAUUUCAUUGUGAUUUUAUUUGCAUUUCUCUGAUUACUAAUGAUGUUGAGGAACUUUCUUUUUGUUUAUUGGUCAUUUCUUUAUCUUGCUUUGUGAAGUAUCUCUUCAAUCCUUUCACCUAUUUAAAAAAAAUUUUUUUAGAGGUUCUCUUUAUAUUCUAAGAGUCCUUUCAGAUAAUGUUUCUCCUAGUCUGGAUCUUGUCUAUUUACUUCCUUAAUGGCUACUAUUUUUUAGUUGAGGAAUAAUUAGUCAGAACAAAUUAAUAAUUAAUUUAAUUGAGAAAUAAUUCAAAUGCCAUAAAACUUACCCUUUUAAAGUAAAUCAGUAGUUUUUAGUAUAUUCACAGCUGUACAACUAUCAGCUGUAUGUAAUUUUAGAACGUUUUCAUAACUCCCCAAGUAAACUCCAUGUCCAUUAAUGUUCAUUCCCCAUUUUCCUCUCCUCCUGUAGACCCUGACAACUGCUAAUAUAAUAUCUGUCUCUAUAGAUUUGCCUCUUCUGGACAGUUUAUGUAAUUGGAAUUAUAUACAGUUGUAUAACCUGGUGCAAAUAUGCAGCUUUUGUAUGUGGCUUCUUUCACUGUGAACAUGAUUUAUGGCUGAAUAGUAUUUCACUGUAUAGAUAUGCCACAUUUUAAAAAAUCUAUUCAUCAGUUGAUGAAUAUUUGGAUUGUUUCUACUUUUUGGCUCUUAUGAAUAAUGCUGCUUUGAACAUGUAUGUACAAGUUUUCAUAUAAGUGUAUAUUUCAAUUCUUUUGAAUAUAUUCCCACUCUUGACUGAAAAUGGUCCCCCAACAUUGAUAUGUUGAAAACCUAAUCCCCAAUGUGAUGGUAUUUGGAGAUGGGAGGCUUUGGGAGAUGAUUAGUUCAUCAGGGUGGAGCCCUUAUGAUGGGACUCAUGCCAUAAGACAUGAAAGAGCUUGCUUCCUUUUUAACUUUUUGAGGAACAUCCAUACUGUUCUCCAGAGUGGUUGACCAGUUUGCAUUCCCACCAAUAGUGCAAGAGGGUCCCCUUUUUCCACAUCCUCACCAGCACCUGUUGUUUCUUGUGUUGUUGAUUUUAGCCAUUCUGACAGGUGCAAGGUGAUACCUCACUGUAGUUUUGAUUUGUAUUUCCUUGAUGAUAAGUGAUGUUGAGCAUCUUCUCAUGUGUCUGUUGGUCAUCUAGAUGUCUUCUUUGAAAAAAUGUCUAUUCAUGUCUUCUCAUAUUUUAAUUGGAUUAUUCUUUUUUUUGGCUGUUGAGUUUUACAAGUUUUUAUGUAUUUUAGAUACUAACCCUUUAUCAGAUUUUUCAUUUGCAAAUAUCUUCUCCCAUUCUGUAGGUUGCCUUUUCAUUUUUUUUUCUUUUAACAUUUCAAUGGGAUAACUUGAAACUCUCAAAAAUAUGCAAACAAAUAAGAGUAAAUGAUUUAGGAACAAUCAUUGCAGAUUACACACACACAGUUAUACAUACAAAUGAUUAAAUGCUAAGUAGGUGGAAAAUGUGAAGAUGUGUGUGGGGGUGUGGGGGUGUGUGUGUUGGAGAGCUAUAGAAUUGUUUACAGCUGUGCUUUUCAAACAUUUCUGUCGAAGGAUCACUAAGUGGAGAAGAAACAUGGAUGGUUGGGAGUAAGAGAGGAGUGACUAGGUGCAGACUCUUUCUUCAACAUGUCAUGUUUUAUUUUAUUUUAUUUUACUUAUUUUUAUUUUUUUAAAGAUUUUAUUUAUUUGAG